GUGGGGAAUAUUGCGCAAUGGGCGAAAGCCUGACGCAGCGACGCCGCGUGAGGGAUGAAGGUUUUCGGAUCGUAAACCUCUGUCAGAAGGGAAGAAACUACGUUGUGCUAAUCAGCAGCGUACUGACGGUACCUUCAAAGGAAGCACCGGCUAACUCCGUGCCAGCAGUCGCGGUAAUACGGAGGGUGCAAGCGUUAAUCGGAAUUACUGGGCGUAAAGCGCACGUAGGCUGUAGUGUAAGUCAGGGGUGAAAUCCCACGGCUCAACCGUGGAACUGCCUUUGAUACUGCACAACUUGAAUCCGGGAGAGGGUGGCGGAAUUCCAGGUGUAGGAGUGAAAUCCGUAGAUAUCUGGAGGAACAUCAGUGGCGAAGGCGGCCACCUGGACCGGUAUUGACGCUGAGGUGCGAAAGCGUGGGGAGCAAACAGGAUUAGAAACCCUUGUAGUCC
rnacentral:rRNA from 1 species